GCAGUCGUAGCUCAACUGGAUAGAGCAGCGGUCUACGGAACCGCAGGUUGCAGGUUCGAGCCCUGCCGACUGCG
rnacentral:tRNA from 1 species